rnacentral:lncRNA from 1 species
UAAAAAUAAAAAAAAUUAAUAGAAAUAAAGUUUUCCUAAUAUUUUAGUCACUGACAACGAUGCCAAAAACUUGAUGCCCAUGAAACCAACUAAAAAUCUGAAUAAGGCAAGUGCACAUAUCAAGUAAUAGUAUAGCUAGGAUGAGCAAAGAUAUCAUUCUCAUGAAGACUAAAAGUAUUAGUAAUUGUCGCCUUUCUAUUAUUUAACCGAUAAAUUCGAGUGAUUAAUUAAAACUAAAAUUAAC